rnacentral:tRNA from 1 species
UCCCUUGUGGCUCAGCUGGUAAAGAAUCCACCUGCAAUGUGGGUGACCCAGGUUUGAUCCCUGGGUUGGGAA